GGUUAAGUGACUAAGCGUACACGGUGGAUGCCUUGGCAGUCAGAGGCGAUGAAAGACGUAGUAACUUGCGAUAAGCCCAGAUUAGGUAGUAACAACCAUUUGAGUCUGGGAUUUCUGAAUGGGGAAACCCACGUGCAUAAGCACGUAUCCUUACCUGAAUACAUAGGGUAAGGAGGCGAACCGGGGAACUGAAACAUCUAAGUACCCCGAGGAAAAGAAAUCAACCGAGAUUCCGAAAGUAGCGGCGAGCGAAAUUGGACUAGCCCUUAAGCUUUACACGCGUUAGACGAACGGUCUGGAAAGUCCGACGAUACAGGGUGAUAGUCCCGUAGUUGACGACGUGUGUUCAGUGAAAUCGAGUAGGGCGGGACACGUGAUAUCCUGUCUGAAUAUGGGGGACCAUCCUCCAAGGCUAAAUACUACUGACUGACCGAUAGUGAACCAGUACCGUGAGGGAAAGGCGAAAAGAACCCCUGUGAGGGGAGUGAAAUAGAACCUGAAACCGUGUACGUACAAGCAGUAGGAGCACCUUCGUGGUGUGACUGCGUACCUUUUGUAUAAUGGGUCAGCGACUUAUAUUCAGUGGCAAGGUUAACCAUCUAGGGGAGCCGUAGGGAAACCGAGUCUUAACUGGGCGUUCAGUCUCUGGAUAUAGACCCGAAACCAGGUGAUCUAGCCAUGGGCAGGUUGAAGGUUGAGUAACAUCAACUGGAGGACCGAACCGACUAAUGUUGAAAAAUUAGCGGAUGACUUGUGGCUAGGGGUGAAAGGCCAAUCAAACCUGGAGAUAGCUGGUUCUCCCCGAAAGCUAUUUAGGUAGCGCCUCGGACGAAUACUACUGGGGGUAGAGCACUGUUAAGGCUAGGGGUCAUCCCGACUUACCAACCCUUUGCAAACUCCGAAUACCAGUAAGUACUAUCCGGGAGACACACGGCGGGUGCUAACGUCCGUCGUGGAGAGGGAAACAACCCAGACCGCCAGCUAAGGUCCCAAAUUACUACUAAGUGGGAAACGAUGUGGGAAGGCUCAGACAGCCAGGAUGUUGGCUUAGAAGCAGCCAUCAUUUAAAGAAAGCGUAAUAGCUCACUGGUCGAGUCGGCCUGCGCGGAAGAUGUAACGGGGCUAAGUAGUAAACCGAAGCUGCGGCAAUGUGCUUUUGCACAUUGGGUAGGGGAGCGUUCUGUAAGCGGUUGAAGGUGUGUGGUAACGCAUGCUGGACGUAUCAGAAGUGCGAAUGCUGACAUGAGUAACGAUAAAGGGGUGAAAAACCUCCUCGCCGGAAGACCAAGGGUUCCUGUCCAACGUUAAUCGGGGCAGGGUAAGUCGACCCCUAAGGCGAGGCCGAAAGGCGUAGUCGAUGGGAAACGGGUUAAUAUUCCCGUACUUCUUACAAUUGCGAUGGGGGGACGGAGAAGGCUAGGUGGGCCUGGCGACGGUUGUCCAGGUUCAAGUGCGUAGGCUUAAGAGUUAGGUAAAUCCGGCUCUUUCUAAGGCUGAGACACGACGUCGAGCUACUACGGUAGUGAAGUCAUUGAUGCCAUGCUUCCAGGAAAAGCCUCUAAGCUUCAGAUUGUAAGGAAUCGUACCCCAAACCGACACAGGUGGUCGGGUAGAGAAUACCAAGGCGCUUGAGAGAACUCGGGUGAAGGAACUAGGCAAAAUGGUACCGUAACUUCGGGAGAAGGUACGCUCUUGAUGGUGAAGUCCCUUGCGGAUGGAGCUGACGAGAGUCGCAGAUACCAGGUGGCUGCAACUGUUUAUUAAAAACACAGCACUGUGCAAAAUCGUAAGAUGACGUAUACGGUGUGACGCCUGCCCGGUGCCGGAAGGUUAAUUGAUGGGGUUAGACUUCGGUCGAAGCUCUUGAUCGAAGCCCCGGUAAACGGCGGCCGUAACUAUAACGGUCCUAAGGUAGCGAAAUUCCUUGUCGGGUAAGUUCCGACCUGCACGAAUGGCGUAAUGAUGGCCACGCUGUCUCCACCCGAGACUCAGUGAAAUUGAAAUCGCUGUGAAGAUGCAGUGUACCCGCGGCUAGACGGAAAGACCCCGUGAACCUUUACUACAGCUUGGCACUGAACAUUGACCCUACAUGUGUAGGAUAGGUGGGAGGCUUUGAAGCACGUACGCCAGUAUGUGUGGAGCCGUCCUUGAAAUACCACCCUUGUAGUGUUGAUGUUCUAACGUCGACCCCUAAUCGGGGUUGCGGACAGUGCCUGGUGGGUAGUUUGACUGGGGCGGUCUCCUCCCAAAGAGUAACGGAGGAGCACGAAGGUGGGCUAAUCACGGUUGGACAUCGUGAGGUUAGUGCAAUGGCAUAAGCCCGCUUGACUGCGAGAAUGACAAUUCGAGCAGGUGCGAAAGCAGGUCAUAGUGAUCCGGUGGUUCUGAAUGGAAGGGCCAUCGCUCAACGGAUAAAAGGUACUCCGGGGAUAACAGGCUGAUACCGCCCAAGAGUUCAUAUCGACGGCGGUGUUUGGCACCUCGAUGUCGGCUCAUCACAUCCUGGGGCUGAAGUCGGUCCCAAGGGUAUGGCUGUUCGCCAUUUAAAGUGGUACGCGAGCUGGGUUUAGAACGUCGUGAGACAGUUCGGUCCCUAUCUGCCGUGGGCGUUGGAAGAUUGAAGGGGCUGCUCCUAGUACGAGAGGACCGGAGUGGACGAACCUCUGGUGUUCGGGUUGUGUCGCCAGACGCAUUGCCCGGUAGCUAAGUUCGGAAUCGAUAACCGCUGAAAGCAUCUAAGCGGGAAGCGAGCCCUGAGAUGAGUCUUCCCUGAUACUUUAAGUAUCCUAAAGGGUUGUCGGAGACUACGACGUUGAUAGGUCAGGUGUGUAAGUGCUGUGAGGCAUUGAGCUAACUGAUACUAAUUGCCCGUGAGGCUUAACCAU
rnacentral:rRNA from 1 species